rnacentral:rRNA from 1 species
UAAAGACCUAGUAAUAGGUAUGCUUAGGGAGGAGCUUGCGUCACAUUAGUUAGUUGGUGGGGUAAAGGCCUACCAAGACUAUGAUGUGUAGCCGGGCUGAGAGGUUGAACGGCCACAUUGGGACUGAGACACGGCCCAAACUCCUACGGGAGGCAGCAGUAGGGAAUUUUCGGCAAUGGAGGAAACUCUGACCGAGCAACGCCGCGUGAACGAUGAAGUAUUUCGGUACGUAAAGUUCUUUUAUUAGGGAAGAAUAAAUGAUGGAAAAAUCAUUCUGACGGUACCUAAUGAAUAAGCCCCGGCUAACUAUGUGCCAGCAGCCGCGGUAAUACAUAGGGGGCAAGCGUUAUCCGGAAUUAUUGGGCGUAAAGGGUGCGUAGGCGGUUAAAUAAGUUUAUGGUCUAAGUGCAAUGCUCAACAUUGUGAUGCUAUAAAAACUGUUUAGCUAGAGUAAGAUAGAGGCAAGUGGAAUUCCAUGUGUAGUGGUAAAAUGCGUAAAUAUAUGGAGGAACACCAGUAGCGAAGGCGGCUUGCUGGGUCUUUACUGACGCUGAGGCACGAAAGCGUGGGGAGCAAACAGGAUUAGAUACCCUGGUAGUCCACGCCGUAAACGAUGAGUACUAAACGUUGGGUAAAACCAGUGUUGAAGUUAACACAUUAAGUACUCCGCCUGAGUAGUACGUACGCAAGUAUGAAACUUAAAGGAAUUGACGGGACUCCGCACAAGCGGUGGAUCAUGUUGUUUAAUUCGAAGGUACCCGAAAAACCUCACCAGGUCUUGACAUGCUUCUGCAAAGCUGUAGAAACACAGUGGAGGUUAUCAGUUGCACAGGUGGUGCAUGGUUGUCGUCAGCUCGUGUCGUGAGAUGUUGGGUUAAGUCCCGCAACGAGCGCAACCCUUAUUGUUAGUUACCAGCACGUAAUGGUGGGGACUUUAGCAAGACUGCCAGUGAUAAAUUGGAGGAAGGUGGGGACGACGUCAAAUCAUCAUGCCCCUUAUGACCUGGGCUACAAACGUGAUACAAUGGCUGUUACAAAGGGUAGCUGAAGCGCAAGUUUUUGGCGAAUCUCAAAAAAACAGUCUCAGUUCGGAUUGAAGUCUGCAACUCGACUUCAUGAAGUUGGAAUCGCUAGUAAUCGCGAAUCCAGCAUGUCGCGGUGAAUACGUU